UAAAAUCCGUAGAGAUCGGAAGGAAUACCAAUGGCGAAGGCAAUCUACUGGUACAUUACUGACGCUGAGGCACGAAAGCGUGGGGAGCAAACAGGAUUAGAUACCCUGGUAGUCCACGCCCUAAACGAUGAACACUAGUUGUCGGAAUCCUUGAGGUUUCGGUAAUGCAGCUAACGCAAUAAGUGUUCCGCCUGGGGAGUACGGUCGCAAGAUUAAAACUCAAAGGAAUAGACGGGGACCCGCACAAGUGGUGGAGCAUGUGGUUUAAUUCGAAAAUACGCGAAGAACCUUACCUGGACUUGACAUCCUAAAGAUAUUUAAGAGAUUAGAUAGUGCCUUUUCGGAGGAAUUUAGUGACAGGUGCUGCACGGCUGUCGUCAGCUCGUGUCGUGAGAUGUUGGGUUAAGUCCCGCAACGAGCGCAACCCUCGUCGUUAGUUGCCAGCAAUUCGGUUGGGCACUCUAACGAGAUUGCCUUCGCAAGGAGGAGGAAGGUGAGGACGACGUCAAGUCAUCAUGGCCCUUAUGUCCAGGGCGACACACGUGCUACAAUGGAAGGGACAAUGUGUUGCGAUACCGCGAGGUGGAGCUAAUCACCAAACCCUUUCUCAGUUCGGAUUGGAGUCUGCAACUCGACUCCAUGAAGUUGGAAUCACUAGUAAUCGUAGAUCAGCCACGCUACGGUGAAUACGUUCCCGGGUCUUGUACUCACCGCCCGUCACACCAUGGGAAUUGGUUUCACCCGAAGAGGGGAUGCUAACCUGCAAAGGAGGCUACUCUCCACGGUGGGGUCAGUAACUGGGGUGAAGUCGUAACAAGGUAGCC
rnacentral:rRNA from 1 species